UCUUUGCGUAAGGGAUAGCAGAGGAAAUCCUUUUUGUUUGGGCUGGGAAAAGAAGAGGCAACAAAAAGAUUGUAACGAAUAGCCCGACCCGAG
rnacentral:sRNA from 1 species